rnacentral:rRNA from 1 species
UGCUUACCAUGCAAGUCGAACGAGAAACGGUCUAGCUUGCUAGAUGCAGUCUAAGUGGCGCACGGGUGAGUAAUAUAUAGGUAAUAUGCCUCUUACUAAGGGAUAACAGAUGGAAACGUCUGCUAAUACCUUAUAUGCCUUUAGGACUAAAGUCCGCAAGGGAAAGAUUUAUCGGUAAGAGAUUAGCCUGUACAGUAUCAGUUAGUUGGUGAGGUAAUGGCUCACCAAGACUAUGACACUUAACUGGUUUGAGAGGAUGAUCAGUCACACUGGAACUGAGACACGGUCCAGACUCCUACGGGAGGCAGCAGUGGGGAAUAUUGCACAAUGGACGGAAGUCUGAUGCAGCAACGCCGCGUGGAGGAUGACACAUUUCGGUGCGUAAACUCCUUUUAUAUGAGAAGAUAAUGACGGUAUCAUAUGAAUAAGCACCGGCUAACUCCGUGCCAGCAGCCGCGGUAAUACGGAGGGUGCAAGCGUUACUCGGAAUCACUGGGCGUAAAGAGCGUGUAGGCGGGUUGAUAAGUUUGAAGUGAAAUCCUAUAGCUUAACUAUAGAACUGCUUUGAAAACUGUUAACCUAGAAUAUGGGAGAGGUAGAUGGAAUUUCUGGUGUAGGGGUAAAAUCCGUAGAGGUCAGAAGGAAUACCGAUUGCGAAGGCGAUCUACUGGAACAUUAUUGACGCUGAGACGCGAAAGCGUGGGUAGCAAACAGGAUUAGAUACCCCGGUAGUCCACGCCCUAAACGAUGUACACUAGUUGUUGUGAGGCUCGACCUUGCAGUAAUGCAGUUAACACAUUAAGUGUACCGCCUGGGGAGUACGGUCGCAAGAUUAAAACUCAAAGGAAUAGACGGGGACCCGCACAAGCGGUGGAGCAUGUGGUUUAAUUCGACGAUACACGAAGAACCUUACCUGGACUUGACAUAGUAAGAACU